GAAACCAACCGGGAUUGCCUUAGUAACGGCGAGUGAAGCGGCAAAAGCUCAAAUUUGAAAUCUGGCGUCUUCGACGUCCGAGUUGUAAUUUGAAGAAGGCGACUUUGUAGCUGGUCCUUGUCUAUGUUCCUUGGAACAGGACGUCAUAGAGGGUGAGAAUCCCGUGUGGCGAGGAUCCCAGUUAUUUGUAAAGUGCUUUCGACGAGUCGAGUUGUUUGGGAAUGCAGCUCUAAGUGGGUGGUAAAUUCCAUCUAAAGCUAAAUAUUGGCGAGAGACCGAUAGCGAACAAGUACAGUGAUGGAAAGAUGAAAAGAACUUUGAAAAGAGAGUGAAAAAGUACGUGAAAUUGUUGAAAGGGAAGGGCAUUUGAUCAGACAUGGCGUUUGCUUCGGCUUUCGCUGGGCCAGCAUCAGUUUUAGCGGUUGGAUAAAUCCUCGGGAAUGUGGCUCUGCUUCGGUAGAGUGUUAUAG
rnacentral:rRNA from 1 species